GAUGAACGCUGGCGGCGUGCCUAAUACAUGCAAGUCGAGCGAACAGACGAGGAGCUUGCUCCUCUGACGUUAGCGGCGGACGGGUGAGUAACACGUGGAUAACCUACCUAUAAGACUGGGAUAACUUCGGGAAACCGGAGCUAAUACCGGAUAAUAUAUUGAGCCGCAUGGUUCAAUAGUGAAAGACGGUUUUGCUGUCACUUAUAGAUGGAUCCGCGCCGCAUUAGCUAGUUGGUAAGGUAACGGCUUACCAAGGCAACGAUGCGUAGCCGACCUGAGAGGGUGAUCGGCCACACUGGAACUGAGACACGGUCCAGACUCCUACGGGAGGCAGCAGUAGGGAAUCUCCCGCAAUGGGCGAAAGCUUGACGGAGCAACGCCGCGUGAGUGAUGAAGGUCUUCGGAUCGUAAAACUCUGUUAUUAGGGAAGAACAAAUGUGUAAGUAACUAUGCACGUCUUGACGGUACCUAAUCAGAAAGCCACGGCUAACUACGUG
rnacentral:rRNA from 1 species